rnacentral:rRNA from 1 species
GACAGAGGUGCCGAGCGUUAGGCGGAAUCACUGGGCUUAAAGCGUGUGUAGGCGGCCCGUUAAGUGUCUUGUGAAAUCCCCCGGCUCAACCGGGGAACUGCUGGGCAUACUGGCGGGCUUGGGUCGCUCAGGGGCAGACGGAACAGGCGGUGAAGCGGUGAAAUGCGUAGAUAUCGCCUGGAACGCCGAAGGUGAAAACAGUCUGCUGGGGGCGCACCGACGCUGAGACACGAAAGCCAGGGGAGCGAACGGG